rnacentral:rRNA from 1 species
CCUACGGGGUGCAGCAGUGGGGAAUAUUGGGCAAUGGGCGCAAGCCUGACCCAGCAACGCCGCGUGAAGGAAGAAGGCUUUCGGGUUGUAAACUUCUUUUGACAGGGAAGAGCAGAAGACGGUACCUGUCGAAUAAGCCACGGCUAACUACGUGCCAGCAGCCGCGGUAAUACGUAGGUGGCAAGCGUUGUUCGGAAUGAAUGGGCGUAAAGGGUGUGUAGGCGGUGUAGCAAGUUAGAAGUGAAAUACCUAGAGCUUAACUCAGGUGCUGCUUCUAAAACUGCUAUACUUGAGUGCAGUAGAGGAAAGUGGAAUUCCUAGUGUAGCGGUGGAAUGCGUAGAUAUUAGGAGGAACAUCAGUGGCGAAGGCGACUUUCUGGACUGUAACUGACGCUGAGGCACGAAAGUGUGGGGAGCAGACAGGAUUAGAUACCCCAGUAGUC